UGUGUUGGGACCCAGUCAGUCAGCAGGGUUAGUGUGUUGGGACCAGUCAGUCAGCAGGGUUAGUGUGUUGGGACCAUCAAAUCAGCAGGGUUAGUGUGUUGGGACCAGUCAGUCAGCAGGGUUAGUGUGUUGGGACCAGUCAGUCAGCAGGGUUAGUGUGUUGGGACCAGUCAUAGGGUUGGGGACCAGUCAGUCAGCAGGGUUAGUGUGUUGGGACCAGUCAGUCAACAGGGUUAGUGUGUUGGGACCAGUCAGUAGCAGGGUUAGUGUGUUGGGACCAGUCAACAGGGUUAGUGUGUUGGGACCAGUCAGCAGGGUUAGUGUGUUGGGACCAGUCAGCAGGG
ensembl:lncRNA